AGUGAACGCUGGCGGUAGGCCUAACACAUGCAAGUCGAACGGCAGCACAGUAAGAGCUUGCUCUUACGGGUGGCGAGUGGCGGACGGGUGAGGAAUACAUCGGAAUCUACUUUUUCGUGGGGGAUAACGUAGGGAAACUUACGCUAAUACCGCAUACGACCUACGGGUGAAAGCAGGGGAUCUUCGGACCUUGCGCGAUUGAAUGAGCCGAUGUCGGAUUAGCUAGUUGGCGGGGUAAAGGCCCACCAAGGCGACGAUCCGUAGCUGGCCUGAGAGGAUGAUCAGCCACACUGGAACUGAGACACGGGCCAGACUCCUACGGGAGGCAGCAGUGGGGAAUAUUGGACAAUGGGCGCAAGCCUGAUCCAGCCAUACCGCGUGGGUGAAGAAGGCCUGCGGGUUGUAAAGCCAUUUUGUUGGGAAAGAAAAGCAGCAGGUUAAUACCCCGCUGUUCGGACGGUACCCAAAGAAUAAGCACCGGCUAACUUCGU
rnacentral:rRNA from 1 species